GACGAACGCUGGCGGCGUGCCUAAUACAUGCAAGUCGAACGCAGUGGGGACGGGUGAGUAACACGUGGGUAACCUCCCAUCAGAGGGGAUAACACUUGGAAACAGGCGCUUAACCGAUACUUAAGGAUUGACCCUCGGGGCAUUAGCUAGUUGGUGAGGUAACGGCUCACCAAGGCCACGAUGCAUAGCCGACCUGAGAGGGUGAUCGGCCACACUGGGACUGAGACACGGCCCAGACUCCUACGGGAGGCAGCAGUAGGGAAUCUUCGGCAAUGGACGAAAGUCUGACCGAGCAACGCCGCGUGAAUGAAGAAGGUUUUCGGAUCGUAAAACUCUGUUGUUAGAGAAGCGGUAUCUAAAGAGAAAGCCACGGCUAACUACGUGCCAGCAGCCGCGGUAAUUG
rnacentral:rRNA from 1 species